rnacentral:rRNA from 1 species
GUCUGUAUGCUCACUUAUAUAAAGUCGGACCUGCCCACUGAUACUAACCUAUUGAAGGGCCGCGGUAAUCUGACCGUGCGAAGGUAGCAUAAUCAAUUGUCUUUUAAUUGGAGGCUUGGAUGAACGGUCUGACGACAGAGAAGCUGUCCCUUUUACUCAGCUUGAAUUUAACUUUUGUGUGAAAAGGCACAAAUAAAAUAGGGGGACGAUAAGACCCUAUAAAACUUUAUACGGCCAGAAGAAGCUAGCAACCAAUAAACUAGAACUACUCUUAAGUAUUGAACUGGGGCGGUUGAAAUAUAAUCAGUAACUGUUUUAUAAAAAAUAUACCAAUAAGUAUCCAAUGAACCUUCAAAAUGAAGAUUGAAAGAUUAAGUUACUUUAGGGAUAACAGCGUAAUUUUCUUUAAGAGUCCAAAUCGACAAGAUAAGUUGCGACCUCGAUGUUGAAUUAAGGUGUACCCUCAGGAGUAGAAAUUUGAGCCGGUAGGUCUGUUCGACCUUUCAUCCCUUACAUGAUUUGAGUUUAAACCGGUGUGAG